CCUACGGAGGGCAGCAGUGAGGAAUAUUGGUCAAUGGGCGGAAGCCUGAACCAGCCAAGUAGCGUGCAGGAUGACGGCCCUACGGGUUGUAAACUGCUUUUAUACGGGAAUAACGCGCCUUACGUGUAGGGCUUUGCAUGUACCGUAUGAAUAAGGACCGGCUAAUUCCGUGCCAGCAGCCGCGGUAAUACGGAAGGUCCGGGCGUUAGCCGGAUUUAUUGGGUUUAAAGGGAGCGUAGGCCGCAUGUCAAGCGUGCUGUGAAAUGUCCGGGCUCAACCCGGGCCUUGCAGCGCGAACUGGCGUGCUUGAGUCCGCGGAAAGCAGGCGGAAUUCGUGGUGUAGCGGUGAAAUGCUUAGAUAUGACGAAGAACCCCGAUUGCGAAGGCAGCUUGCUGCAGCGGAACUGACGCUGAUGCUCGAAAGCGCGGGUAUCGAACAGGAUUAGAUACCCCAGUAGUC
rnacentral:rRNA from 1 species